rnacentral:rRNA from 1 species
UACGGAGGGUGCGAGCGUUGUCCGGAAUCAUUGGGCGUAAAGGGCGCGUAGGUGGCCUGGUCAGUUCGUGGUGAAAGCGCGGGGCUCAACCCCCGCGUCGGCCAUGAAUACUGCUAGGCUUGAGCACUGUAGAGGCAGGCGGAAUUCCGGGUGUAGCGGUGGAAUGCGUAGAGAUCCGGAAGAACACCGGUGGCGAAGGCGGCCUG